AUGCUCCGGCUCCGAGAGUGCGUCCUUUCCCGUCUCCUCUCUUCUCCUCCCACCUCUCCCAUCUGCUCGCUUCGCCGCCUGCUCUCCGCCACCGCGUCUCCCCCCAUUUCCCCGAACCCUAGUACCUUCGCCGUGGAGGAGUAUCUCGUCGACACCUGCGGCCUCACCCGGCCCCAAGCCCUCAAGGCCUCCAAGAAGCUCUCCCACCUCAAAUCCCCCACCAAGCCCGACGCCGUCCUCGCCUUCCUCUCCUGCCUCGGCCUCUCCGCCGCCGAUGUCGCCGCGGUCGUCGCCAAGGACCCGCGGUUCCUUUGCGCCAAAGUGGAGAAAACCCUGGCUCCGGUGGUUGAUGGACUCACCGGCCUCGGUCUCUCGCGUCCUGAGAUCGCCCGCCUCGGCUCGCUCGCCCACAGCGGCUUCCGCUGUAGAUCCAUAGUCUCCAAGCUGCACUACUACCUGCCCCUCUUGGGCUCCUUCCACAACUUCCUCCGGCUGUUCAAGCACUCAUCCCACCUCUUGUUUUCGGACCUCGACAAGGUUGUUAAGCCCAAUGUCGUGUUCCUGCACGAGUGUGGGCUAGGUGAUUGUGAUAUUGCCAAGCUGUGUAUCGCUGUGCCGAGGAUGCUGACCACCAACCCUGAGCGCGUCGCCGCAAUGGUGGCAUGUGCUGAAAGAUUAGGUGUACCUCGUGGCGCUGGGAUGUUCAGGCAAGCGCUGCAGGCUGUCGCGUUUCUCAGCGAGGAGAAGAUCGCCGCCAGAUUGGACUACUUGAAGAAUACGUUCGGGUGGUCUGAUGCCGAAGCAAGCAUUGCUGUGCGCAGGUUCCCGAGUGUGCUGAGGAAUUCAAAUGAAUCUCUGAAGCGUAGGUCCGAGUUCCUGGUAUCUGAGGUGGGGCUGGAACCUGCGUCCAUUGCUCAUCGACCGGUAAUUCUCAGUCUUAGCCUGGAGGGCCGACUCAGACCCCGGUACUAUGUUAUAAAGUUUCUCAAGGAAAAUGGACUGCUAGAUGGUGACCUGAGCUUCUUUACUGCGGUCAAGAUGACUGAGAAUGUAUUUAUGGAGAAACUCAUAUCCCCUCACAAGGAAGCUGCACCACACCUCGCUGAAGACUAUGCAACCGCUUGCAAAGGGGAAGUACCGACUAAUUUCAGAUUCAUAUGA
rnacentral:rRNA from 1 species